GCUCACACGAAAAGGCGGGGGGGGGGGAGGAAGAAGAGCUAAUUGUUUUGGCCCGUGUGCUCUGGGCCUGUUGCAGGCUCGCAGCCCAUGAACAUUCCUGCCCUCUGUGCCCCGAUUCAGUUCGAGGGGCUGUGGCAAAACCACUGUUUUGCUUUCAAUGUGACCGAACAAUGUAUCAGAAGUUGACUGUUUGCAGAAAGUCUUCUUUCAGCAGAUAGACUUGGAAACUGUGCCACCAGAACUGAGACUGAAAAUGGAAACAACUUUUAUGCAGAAGCAAACGAAUAAUGGAACAUACCUUAACAACUGCAAGUCAGACACAUCAAGACAAAAGGGUUUGGACUGUAACGAGAAUUCCUAAGAUAGUAAGCCUGUUCUGGUUUAUCCAGUUGCUUGUGUGGGGUAUUAACUGCAGUUUGUAAGGGACUACUGAAAUGGUCAGUCUCCUGAAGAUAAUCUCAAAAAAUUUCUUCUGCUUGAAGAGUGAUCUUCUCAGACAGUGGAG